rnacentral:rRNA from 1 species
CCUAUGGGGGGCAGCAGUCGCGAAAACUUCACAAUGGGGGAAACCCCGAUGAGGGAAUUCCAAGUGCCAGCACAUUGUGUUGGCUGUUCUCUGGUCUAAAAAACCGGAGAAGUAAGGGCCGGGUAAGACGGGUGCCAGCCGCCGCGGUAAUACCCGCGGCCCAAGUGGUGGUCGAUAUUAUUGAGCCUAAAACGUCCGUAGCCGGUCUUGUAAAUCCUUGGGUAAAUCGACCAGCUCAACUGUUCGAAGUCCGGGGAGACUGCAAGACUUGGGAUCGGGAGAGGUGAGAGGUACUUCUGGGGUAGGGGUAAAAUCCUGUAAUCCUAGAAGGACCACCGGUGGCGAAGGCGUCUCACUAGAACGAAUCCGACGGUGAGGGACGAAGCCCUGGGGCGCAAACGGGAUUAGAUACCCACGUAGUCC